GAAAAAUAACAACUUCACCCACAUUCUGUGGCCAAAUAAAAGUUUAUAGACAAUUUUUUCUCGAAGUGGGGAAAUGAAUUUGUUUCUUGAGAAAAAUUGACAGAUGGCGUUUGAUUUGAGGUGAGAAAACAAUUUUUGGAAAUUUAACCAAACGUCAGUGGGACUCAUUAAAAAUAUGCAAAGAAAGUAUUUAACAUAAUUUAAAAUUCAUUAAUGAUAAAAUAAAUAGUUUUAUCACUGAGCAACAUUCGAUAUUAUAUACAUAUUUAUGUAGUUUCCAAAAUAGCUUCAAACUUGUCACGUAAUAACAGAAACAGAAAGAAUAUUCUUCUACAAAGUGGAGGCUUUGACAUUUCGGAACAAAUGGGACAUGUACAAUGUCAUCUCACCUUAUUGCCUCGUUCGCAUUAACAACAUUUCUACACUCUGUUCCUUUUUAACCAUCGCUGAUCAUUUCUUGUCAUAUGUAUAUAUUUUUUGUACAGAAAAAUCGUUUAUUUUAUUGUAUGAGAAUAAAAGUCAAGAAAUCAA